ACAACCGCUUUGCUUAGAACUGGGAUAGGACGCGAAGCACCUCUGAGGGAUAUUAUAGGCUCGCCUAUUCAACUCCUAUCAGGAUGUCCCUGUUUGUGCCGAAUGGCUACAUGUGUCAUCCCAUAUUCAUACUUGGAUACAUGGAAAAACUAUAGAUCCUCGGGCGGAUGAUGGCACAUGGCAAGAUUGUCAUUA
rnacentral:ribozyme from 1 species